UACGUAGGGACCGAGCGUUGUCCGGAAUCAUUGGGCGUAAAGAGUGUGUAGGCGGCCACUUAAGUCCUGCGUGAAAUCUUGCGGCUCAACCGCAAGCGGUCGUGGGAAACUGGGUGGCUAGAGUGCGGGAGAGGAGAGUGGAAUUCCUGGUGUAGCGGUGGAAUGCGCAGAUAUCAGGAAGAACACCCGUGGCGAAGGCGGCACUCUGGGCCGAUACUGACACUGAGGAGCGAAAGCGUGGGGAGCGAACAGG
rnacentral:rRNA from 1 species